rnacentral:lncRNA from 1 species
AUCUGGCCAAGCUGCAAGUAUAUUCAAGCCAGGAGCAAUCACAUCAGGCUUCAAAAUCUCAGGAGUCUCUGGAUUAGGCCCCCUAGCCGAAAAAGAAGCCACAACUGGAGCUGGCCUCACAUUAACUCGAGUCCCCUUAAAAACAAUCGUAGCUGUAGCCGGUGACUUAGACUUCUCAGCCGACAUAAUAUACUUCCUAAUCUCAUCCCCCGAAGCUGCACCAACAGAGGUAGCAGGCAAAACAUGACAAUCAGCCACUAAUCCUUCACCGUCAAAUACCCCAUUCGCCAAAAUCAUCC